AUUGAACGCUGGCGGCAGGCCUAACACAUGCAAGUCGAGCGGAUGAAGGGAGCUUGCUCCUGGAUUCAGCGGCGGACGGGUGAGUAAUGCCUAGGAAUCUGCCUGGUAGUGGGGGAUAACGUCCGGAAACGGGCGCUAAUACCGCAUACGUCCUGAGGGAGAAAGUGGGGGAUCUUCGGACCUCACGCUAUCAGAUGAGCCUAGGUCGGAUUAGCUAGUUGGUGGGGUAAAGGCCUACCAAGGCGACGAUCCGUAACUGGUCUGAGAGGAUGAUCAGUCACACUGGAACUGAGACACGGUCCAGACUCCUACGGGAGGCAACAGUGGGGAAUAUUGGACAAUGGGCGAAAGCCUGAUCCAGCCAUGCCGCGUGUGUGAAGAAGGUCUUCGGAUUGUAAAGCACUUUAAGUUGGGAGGAAGGGCAGUAAGUUAAUACCUUGCUGUUUUGACGUUACCAACAGAAUAAGCACCGGCUAACUUCG
rnacentral:rRNA from 1 species